GCAUUGGUAGUUCAGUGGUAGAUUUCUCUGCUUCCUUGCAGGGGACAUGGGUUCAAUUCUCAGCCAAUGCA
rnacentral:tRNA from 1 species